CCAGCACCCAACUUUACCACCCUCCCCCACCUCUCCCCCGAAACUCCAGCAACAAAGAAAAGUAGUCGGAGAAGGAGCGGCGACUCAGGGUCGCCCGCCCCUCCUCACCGAGGAAGGCCGAAUACAGUUAUGGCCACCCAGUAGAAGAACGUGAAGCAGUGUCCAAAACUGCACUGGCAUCACCUCCUGCUACAAUGGCAGCAAAUGAGUCUCAGGAAAUUGAUGAAGAUGAAGGCAUCCACAGCCAUGAAGGAAGUGACCUAAGUGACAACAUGUCAGAGGAAAGGGAAAAGAUUACAGCAAACACCUCAAUCGCCAUUUGGUUAAUGUGUACUAUCUUGAAGAAGCAGCUCAAGGGCAGGAGUAAUGAAACUUUGAACAAGGUUUCAGUUCUUAGUUUG
rnacentral:sRNA from 1 species